ACAAUGGAGAGUUUGAUCCUGGCUCAGGAUGAACGCUAGCUACAGGCUUAACACAUGCAAGUCGAGGGGAAACGAUAUUGGAAGCUUGCUUCCGAUAGGCGUCGACCGGCGCACGGGUGAGUAACGCGUAUCCAACCUGCCCAUCACUUGGGGAUAACCUUGCGAAAGUAAGACUAAUACCCAAUGAUAUCUCUAGAAGACAUCUGAAAGAGAUUAAAGAUUUAUCGGUGAUGGAUGGGGAUGCGUCUGAUUAGCUUGUUGGCGGGGUAAC
rnacentral:rRNA from 1 species